AGGAUGGCGACCGGCGCACGGGUGAGUAACACGUAUCCAACCUGCCUCAUACUCGGGGAUAGCCUUUCGAAAGAAAGAUUAAUAUCCGAUAGCAUAUAUUUCCCGCAUGGGUUUUAUAUUAAAGAAAUUCGGUAUGAGAUGGGGAUGCGUUCCAUUAGUUUGUUGGGGGGGUAACGGCCCACCAAGACUACGAUGGAUAGGGGUUCUGAGAGGAAGGUCCCCCACAUUGGAACUGAGACACGGUCCAA
rnacentral:rRNA from 1 species